rnacentral:siRNA from 1 species
UAAAGACUCAAAAUCCUAUACCU